UACAUGAUACCUUACACAUGAUUUUAGUUUUCAAGUCUACAUUUGAAUUGAAUAUUUCAAGUAAAAGUUGAGUAUGUAACAGUAAAAAAAAUCCUAUUUUGUAAAAGAUAAAUCUCAAGAGUCGAUUUAUAUUAAAACUAGAGAGCACGGCUGGCCCGACGGAGCUGAGAGCGGACGCUCUCCAAACCAGAGGGGCAGAAAUAAGGCAGAUGGUGCGAGACGGGAGUUGUGCUACACAUCAAUCUCUACUUCUAAUGGAGCAGUUGGUAGUCUCGCUUCCAGGUUUUUUUAGUCCCACCUCCCAUGGUUUUUUUGGUACCUCCUCCCACCUCUCGACUUACCCACCACAAACCGCAAAAACCUUGUGCUAAGGCCCCAACCCGCACCCAUGCACGUACAACCAAAAAAAGACCUAUGAAGAUUAACCAAAAAAAAAGACCUACGAAGGUUAACCAGCGACAAAAAAACUUAAACCUUUCAUCCCUUCGCCGCCGCGCUUCACUCCCCGCCCUCCAUCCGCACUCAACAUGUCCAGGAUCCGCCACCGCCCUCGCAAAUCCAUCCCUUCGCCGCCUCCCUCGCUCUCGCAUCAAGGAUCGAGGCCUCCAGAGUAUCCUCGAUACCCGCGUUACCCAUUCGCCACCGCCGAUCCCGCCGCCGCGGGAGAGGAUGAGCUGAUCUCCAUGGCCAGAUGAGGGAGGAAUAGGGGUGACGAGAUGGAUUUCGAUCUCAAGGUGGGGAGGCCAACGUAGUCGCCCCUAGCGCGUCGAGCAAAAGUGAAGGAUUUGGAUCUCAUGGAUUUGGCUGCAUUGAGCAGCAAAGGACCGCCGCCGGCUCGGCUCCUCCACCACGAAGCAACCUCCUUCCACCCCGUAGCCGCCGCCCAAAACCCUAGAAUUCGAGUCCCACCCAUGGCGCCCUAGGUGGUACAGCGGCCAGAGGAGAGGAGAGGAGGUGGAGCAGCCAUCGCCUGGACUUGAGGUCAGCUUCCCCCAUCCAAUCUUAUCUACCCCACCCCCAGGUGGCUCACAAUAUCUAUCACCUGCAGCAGCAUCUUGUGCAUGCAUCCAUUGAGGACGUGAGGUGCACACCACAUUUUGGUUUAGUUUUUCCCUUCUUUAUUAUAAUUAUGCCAAGGACAUCUUAUGCCUUACAGUAGUAUUCAGAUUCUCAAGUUUGUUUGUUUAUUUUUAGUGCAAUACUGCUCUCAUCUCUGCAGGAGAUUAGAGGAAAAAAUAUCAUAAAUCGGAAAGAUGACAUUUUGGUUCAGUUCUGGAUCAUUUUCUUUUUUGGUUCAGUUUAUAUAAGUGGUUGUUGUUUUAUGUUGCUGCUAGCCAUCAGAAAACGAGUUCGUAGUAGGUUUCCAUCCUUACAAUUCAUUUUGUGUUGCUCUGAACUGAAAAAAGAGGGAAUACUGUUGUGCCUAGCUUGAAGUUCACAGUUGGUUUGGCAUCAAUUGAGCAAACAUUGUUACAGUUAUUAAUGGCUGUUGUAUGUAUUACAUUUUUGCUUUUUCUAAAACCACAUGUAUCCUAUAAUCUGAUUGCUUUUCUUUGUGUGAGCAGCAGUUUCUGAGCUUUCUCUCCACUCUUUUUUCCUCUCUCCCUCUCUCACUCAAUCUCAACUUGGCAAACGAUGGCGGUGGUGAAUGGGCAGCGCGGGCGUCGAGCAAGAUCAUGGGGGAGCAGGGGAGGCCAGAGUAGGGGUGGGCAUAAAAAAACCGACAAACCGAAAACCAAACCGAUGCCGAAACCGAAUAAACCGAAUUUUCGGUUUUUUCUCAUGUCACAACAAAAUUCGGUUUUCAAGUGGCUAACCGAAUAUAAUUCGGUUGGUUCGGUUUUCUCGGUUAACCGAACAAAAACCAAAGAAACCUUAAACAGCUUAAGAAACGACGCACAUGCAGGCACAGGCGCGCAACAACGUCUCCCGAUAGUCACGCGCACACGCGCCCAUCGGCCACCAAUGCAUCGUGCACAUCACAUGGGCCUACCUGACCAAAGUGCAUGCAAAGUUGCAAGGCCCAUCUCAGCAACGUCUCCCGAUAGUCACGCACGCACAACCGACCAAGCAUCAACUCCUUUAGUCCCACCUCGCUAGACGGAUGGGAUGAUUCAGAUCUGCUGCCUAUAUAAGAGGGUGCCACUUCUAAAAUCCUAGCACAAAUACUUGGCGUGGUACAUCGGUACAAAACCGAAAACCGUACCGAAUAUUCGGUUAGCUAGUUUUAGCUAACAUUUUCGGUUUCCAGUUUUACAAACCGAAAUUUAAUAAACACUGAACGGUAGAAACCGAAUUUUCGGUUUAUACCGAACGCCCAGCCCUAGGCCAGAGGCUGCUCACCAUAUACAUCGCCAUCCAUAGCCGCUCUCGUCCGCCAAGAAGCUGAGGAGGGAGGCUGCCAGUGACCACUCUGCACCGCUCUGGACGACGCCCUCCCCCACCAGGUUCAUCCUCCUAAUUCGUUUUAAUCAAAAUAAAAAUAACAAAGAACCCUUUGGAGAUCCCUGCCCAUGAGUCUGGUUUUCAGAUGACAAAUAUAAUCACAGUUUUAAAAUAAAAGGAUGUGUCAAAGUUCGGAUGCGCUGAAAUUAUUAGAGCUUGGGUACCUAUCUUGAUCAAAACUCAAAAACUUUCAAUUAACUGAACGAAUUUAUGGGUCAUCAAUAUGGUUACAUGAUACCUUACACAUGAUUUUAGUUUUCAAGUCUACACUUGAAUUGAAUAUUUCAAGGAAGAGUUGAGUAUGUAACGGUAAAAAAAAUCCUAUUUCGUAAAAGAUAAAUCUCAAGAGUCGAUUUAUAUUAAAACUAGAGAGCACGGCCGGCCCGACGGAGCUGAGAGCGCACGCUCUCCAAACCAGAGGGGCAGAAAUAAGGCAGAUGGUGCGAGAUGGGAGUUGUGCUACACAUCAACCUCUACUCCUAAUGGAGCAGUUGGUAGUCUCGCUUCCAGCUUUUUUUAGUCCCACCUCCCAUGGUUUUUUUGGUACCUCCUCCCACCUCUGACUUAGCCACCACAAACCGAAAAAACCUCGUGCUAAGGCCCCAACCCGCACCCAUGCACGUACGACCAAAAAAAGACCUAUGAAGAUUAACCAACAAAAAAAGACCUACGAAGGUUAACCAGCGACAAAAAAACCUAAACCUUUCAUCCCUUCGCCGCCGCGCUUCACUCCCCGCCCUCCAUCCGCGCUGAACAUGUCCAGGAUCCGCCGCCGCCCUCGCAAAUCCAUCCCUUCGCCGCAGCCCUCGCGCUCGCAUCAAGGAUUGAGGCCUCCAGAGUAUCCUCGAUCCCCGCAUUACCCAUUCGCCGCCGCCGAUCCCGCCGCCGCGGGAGAGGAUGAGCUGAUCUCCAUGGCCAGAUGAGGGAGGAAUAGGGGUGACGGGAUGGAUUUGGAUCUCAAGGUGGGUAGGCCAACGUAGUCGCCCCUAGCGCGUCGAGCAAAAGCGAAGGAUUUGGAUCUCAUGGAUUUGGCUGCGUCGACCAGCAAAGGACCGCCGCCGGCUCGGCUCCUCCACCAUGAAGCAACCUCCUUCAACCCCGUAGCCGCCGCCCAAAACCCUAGCAAUCGAGGCCCACCCAUGGCGCCCUAGGUGGUACAGCGGCCAGAGGAGAGGAGAGGAGGUGGAGCAGCCAUCGCCUGGACGUGAGGUGAGCUUCCCCCAUCCAAUCUUAUCUACCCCACCCCCAGGUUGCUCACAAUAUCUAUCACCUGCAGCAGCAUCUUGUGCAUGCAUCCAUUGAGGACGUGAGGUGCACACCACAUUUUGGUUCAGUUUUCCCCUUCUUUAGUAUAAUUAUGCCAAGGACAUCUUAUGCCUUACAGUUGUAUUCAGAUUCUCAAGUUUGUUUAUUUAUUUUUAGUGCAAUACUGCUCUACUGUCUGCAAGAGAUUGGUGGACAAAAUAUCAGAAAUCGGAAACAUGACGUUUUGGUUUAGUUCUGGAUCAUUUUCUUUUUUGGUUCAGAUUAUAUAAGUGGUUGUUGUUUUAUGUUGCUGCUAGCCAUCAAAAAACGAGUUCACAUUAGGUUUCCAUCCUUACAAUUCAUUUUGUGUUGCUCUGAACUGAAAAAAGAGGGAAUACUGUUGUGCCUAGCUUGAAGUUCACAGUAGGUUUGGCAUCAAUCGAGCAAACAUUGUUACAAUUAUUAGUGGCUGUUGUAUGUAUUACAUUUUUGCUUUUUCUAAAACCACAUGUAUCCUAUAAUCUGAUUGCUUCUCUUUGUGUGAGCAGCAGUUUCUGAGCUUUCCCUCCACUAUUUUUUCCUCUCUCUCUCUUUCUCUCUCUCACUCAAUCUCAACUUGGCAAGCGAUGGCGGCGGUGAAUGGGCAGCGCGGGCGUCGAGCAAGAUCAUGGGGGAGCAGGGGAGGCCAGAGUAGGGGUGGGCAUAAAAACCGACGAACCAAAAACCGAACCGAUGUCGAAACUGAAUAAACCGAAUUUUCGGGUUUUUCUCAUGUCACAACAAAAUUCAGUUUUCAAGUGCACUAACCGUAUUCGGUUGGUUCGGUUUUCUUCUCGGUUAACCAAACAAAAACCGAAGAAACCUUAAUCAGCUUAAGAAACGACGCACAUGCAGGCACAGGCGCGCAACAACGCCUCCCGAUAGUCACGCGCACACGCGCCCACCAUCGGCCACCAAUGCAUCGUGCACAUCACAUGGGCCUACCUGACCAAAGUGCAUGCAAAGUUGCAAGGCCCAUCUCAGCAACGUCUCUCGAUAGUCACGCACGCACAGCCGACCAGGCAUGUGCGCGCCCACCAUCGGCCACCAAUGCAUCGUGCACAUCACAUGGGCCUACUUGACCAAAGUGCAUGCAAAGUUGCAAGGCCCAUCUCAGCAACGUCUCUCGAUAGUCACGCACGCACAGCCGACCAGGCAUCAACUCCUUUAGUCCCACCUCGCUAGACAGACGGGAUGAUUCAGAUCGGCUGCCUAUAUAAGAGGGUGUCACUUCUAAAAUCCUAGCACAAAUACUUGGCGUGGUACAUCGGUACAAAACCGGAAAUGGUACCGAAUAUUCGGUUAGCCGAAUUUUUGGAUAGCUAGUUUUAGCUAACAUUUUUGGUUUCCAGUUUUACAAACCGAAAUUUAAUAAACACCGAACAGUAGAAACCGAAUUUUCGGUUUAUACCGAACGCCCAGCCCUAGGCCAGAGGCUGCUCACCAUAUACAUCGCCAUCCAUAGCCGCUCUCGUCCGCCAAGAAGCUGAGGAGGGAGGCUGACCUCCAGUGACCACUCUGCACCGCUUUGGACGACACCCUCCCCCACCAGGUUCAUCCUCCUAAUUCGUUUUAAUCAAAAUAAAAAUAACAAAGAACCCUUUGGAGAUCGCUGCCCAUGAGUCUGGUUUUUAGAUGACAAAUAUAAUCACAAUUUUAAAAUAAAAGGAUGUGUCAAAGUUCAGACGCGCUGAAAUUAUUAGAGCUUGGGUACCUAUCUUGAUCAAAAGUCAAAAACUUUCAAUUAACUGAACGAAUUUAUGGGUCAUCAAUAUGGUUACAUGAUACCUUACACAUGAUUUUAGUUUUCAAGUCUACAUUUGAAUUGAAUAUUUCAAGUAAGAGUUGAGUAUGUAACAGUAAAAAAAAUCCUAUUUCGUAAAAGAUAAAUCUCAAGAGUCGAUUUAUAUUAAAACUAGAGAGCACGGCCGGCCCGACGGAGCUGAGAGCGGACGCUCUCCAAACCAGAGGGCCAGAAAUAAGGCAGAUGGUGCGAGACGGGAGUUGUGUUACACAUCAAUCUCUACUCCUAAUGGAGCAGUUGGUAGUCUCGCUUCCAGCUUUUUUUAGUCCCACCUCCCAUGGUUUUUUUGAUACCUCCUCCCACCUCUGACUUACCCAUCACAAACCGAAAAAACCUCGUGCUAAGGCCCCAACCCGCACCCAUGCACGUACGACCCAAAAAAGACCUAUGAAGAUUAACCAACAAAAAAAGACCUACGAAGGUUAACCAGCGACAAAAAAACCUAAACCUUUCAUCCCUUCGCCGCCGAGCUUCACUCCCCGCCCUCCAUCCGCGCUGAACAUGUCCAGGAUCCGCCGCCGCCCUCGCAAAUCUAUCCCUUCGCCGCCGCCCUCGCGCUCGCAUCAAGGAUUGAGGCCUCCAGAGUAUCCUCGAUCCCCGCAUUACCCAUUCGCCGCCGCCGAUCCCGCCACCGCGGGAGAGGAUGAGCUGAUCUCCAUGGCCAAAUGAGGAAGGAAUAGGGGUGACGGGAUGGAUUUGGAUCUCAAGGUGGGUAGGCCAACGUAGUCGCCCCUAGCGCGUCGAGCAAAAGCAAAGGAUUUGGAUCUCAUGGAUUUGGCUGCAUCGACCAGCAAAGGACCGCCGCCGGCUCGGCUCCUCCACCAUGAAGCAACCUCCUUCCACCCCGUAGCCGCCGCCCAAAACCCUAGCAAUCGAGCCCCACCCAUGGCGCCGUAGGUGGUACAACGGCCAGAGGAGAGGAAAGGAGGUGGAGCAGCCAUCGCUUGGACGUGAGGUGAGCUUCCCCCAUCCAAUCUUAUCUACCCCACCCCCAGGUGGCUCACAAUAUCUAUCACCUGCAGCAGCAUCUUGUGCAUGCAUCCAUUGAGGACGUGAGGUGCACACCACAUUUUGGUUCAGUUUUCCCCUUCUUUAGUAUAAUUAUGCCAAGGACAUCUUAUGCCUUACAGUAGUAUUCAGAUUCUCAAGUUUGUUUAUUUAUUUUUAGUGCAAUACUGCUCUACUGUCUGCAGGAGAUUGGUGGACAAAAUAUCAGAAAUCGGAAACAUGACGUUUUGGUUUAGUUCUGGAUCAUUUUCUUUUUUGGUUCAGUUUAUAUAAGUGGUUGUUGUUUUAUGUUGCUGCUAGCCAUCAAAAAACGAGUUCACAGUAGGUUUCCAUCCUUACAAUUCAUUUUGUGUUGCUCUGAACUGAAAAAAGAGGGAAUACUGUUGUGCCUAGCUUGAAGUUCAAAGUAGGUUUGGCAUCAAUCGAGCAAACAUUGUUACAGUUAUUAGUGGCUGUUGUAUGUAUUACAUUUUUGCUUUUUCUAAAACCACAUGUAUCCUAUAAUCUGAUUGCUUUUCUUUGUGUGAGCAGCAGUUUCUGAGCUUUCCCUCCACUAUUUUUCCUCUCUCUCUCUCUUUCUCUCUCUCAGUCAAUCUCAACUUGGCAAGCGAUGGCGGCGGUGAAUGGGUAGCGCGGGCGUCGAGCAAGAUCAUGGGGGAGCAGGGGAGGCCAGAGUAGGGGUGGGCAUAAAAACCGACGAACCGAAAACCGAAUCGAUGUUGAAACCGAAUAAACCGAAUUUUCGGGUUUUUCUCAUGUCACAACAAAACUCGGUUUUCAAGUGCACUAACCGAACAGAAUUCGGUUGGUUCGAUUUUCUUCUCGGUUAACCAAACAAAAACUGAAGAAACCUUAAUCAGCUUAAGAAACGACGCACAUGCAGGCACAGGCGCGCAACAACGUCUCCCGAUAGUCACGCGCACACGCGCCCACCAUCUGCCACCAAUGCAUCAUGCACAUCACAUGGGCCUACCUGACCAAAGUGCAUGCAAAGUUGCAAGGCCCAUCUCAGCAACGUUUCCCGAUAGUCACGCACGCACAGCCGACCAGGCAUCAACUCCUUUAGUCCCACCUCGCUAGACGGACGAGAUGAUUCAGAUCUGCUGCCUAUAUAAGAGGGUGCCACUUCUAAAAUCCUAGCACAAAUACUUGGCGUGGUACAUCGGUACAAAACCGGAAACCAUACCGAAUAUUCGGUUAGCCGAAUUUUCGGUUAGCUUGUUUUAGCUAACAUUUUCAGUUUCCAGUUUUACAAACCGAAAUUUAAUAAACACCGAACGGUAGAAACCGAAUUUUCGGUUUAUACCGAACGCCCAGCCCUAGGCCAGAGGCUGCUCACCAUAUACAUCGCCAUCCAUAGCCGCUCUCAUCCGCCAAGAAGCUGAGGAGGGAGGCUGACCUCCAGUGACCACUCUGCACCGCUCUGGACGACACCCUCCCCCACCAGGUUCAUCCUCCUAAUUCGUUUUAAUCAAAAUAAAAAUAACAAAGAACCCUUUGGAGAUCCCUGCCCAUGAGUCUGGUUUUUAGAUGACAAAUAUAAUCACAGUUUUAAAAUAAAAGGAUGUGUCAAAGUUCGGAUGCGCUGAAAUUAUUAGAGCUUGGGUACCUAUCUUGAUCAAAAGUCAAAAACUUUCAAUUAACUGAACGAAUUUAUGGGUCAUCAACAUGGUUACAUGAUACCUUACACAUGAUUUUAGUUUUCAAGUCUACACUUGAAUUGAAUAUUUCAAGUAAGAGUUGAGUAUGUAACAGUAAAAAAAAUCCUAUUUCGUAAAAGAUAAAUCUCAAGAAUCGAUUUAUAUUAAAACUAGAUAGCACGGCCGACCCGACGGAGCUGAGAGCGCACGCUCUCCAAACCAGAGGGGCAGAAAUAAGGCAGAUGGUGCGAGACGGAAAUUGUGCUACACAUCAAUCUUUAUUCCUAAUGAAGCAGUUGGGAGGAAUAGGGGUGACGGGAUGUAUUUGGAUCUCAAGAUGGGGAGGCCAACGUAGUCGCCCCUAGUGCGUCGAGCAAAAGCAAGGAUUUGGAUCUCAUGGAUUUGGCUGCGUCGACCAGCAAAGGACCGCCGCCGGCUCGGCUCCUCCACCACGAAGCAACCUCCUUCCACCCCGUAGCCGCCGCCCAAAACCCUAGCAAUCGAGCCCCACCCAUUGCACCCUAGGUGGUACAGCGGCCAGAGGAGAGGAGAUGAGAGGAGAGGAGGUGGAGCAGCCAUCGCCUGGACUUGAGGUGAGCUUCCCCCAUCCAAUCUUAUCUACCCCACCCCCAGGUGGCUCACAAUAUCUAUCACCUGCAGCAGCAUCUUGUGCAUGCAUCCAUUGAGGACGUGAGGUGCACACCACAUUUUGGUUCAGUUUUUCCCUUCUUUAUUAUAAUUAUGCCAAGGACAUCUUAUGCCUUACAGUAGUAUUCAGAUUCUCAAGUUUGUUUAUUUAUUUUUAGUGCAAUACUGCUCUCCUGUCUGCAGGAGAUUGGAGGAAAAAUAUCAGAAAUCGGAAACAUGACGUUUUGGUUCAGUUCUGGAUCUUUUUCUUUUUUGGUUCAGUUUAUAUAAGUGGUUGUUGUUUUAUGUUGCUGCUAGCCAUCAGAAAACGAGUUCACAGUAGGUUUCCAUCCUUACAAUUCAUUUUGUGUUGCUCUGAACUGAAAAAUAGAGGGGAUAUUGUUGUGCCUAGCGUGAAGUUCACAGUAGGUUUGGCAUCAAUCGAGCAAACUUUGUUACAGUUUUUAGUGGCUGUUGUAUGUAUUACACUUUUGCUUUUUCUAAAACCACAUGUAUCCUAUAAUCUGAUUGCUUUUCUUUGUGUGAGCAGCAGUUUCUGAGCUUUCCCUCCACUAUUUUUUUCCUCUCUCUCUCUUUCUCCCUCUCACUCAAUCUCAACUUGGCAAGCGAUGGCGGCGGUGAAUGGGCAGCGUGGGCGUCUAGCAGGAUCAUGGGGGAGCAGGGGAGGCCAGAGGCUGCUCACCAUAUACAUCGCCAUCCAUAGCCGCUCUCGUCCACCAAGAAGCUGAGGAGGGAGGCUGACCUCCAGUGACCACUCUGCACCGCUCUGGACGACACCCUCCCCCACCAGGUUUAUCCUCCUAAUUCGUUUUAAUCGUCCUAUUUUUUUGUCUUACCACAGUUAAGAAAUACGAUUCAUGUUUGCUAUUGCAUUGGGAGCUCCAUCCUUACAGCUUAUGGAUGAUAUGAAUACAUCAAGGUGUUUUGGUUCUCCCCAUUCUGUAUGUUCGCAAUGGAGUGUAUAUAUUGUUGAUUUAUGUCAUGGUGAUUGAUUUUGAUUGCAGAGAGAAAGUGCAAAAGCUAUGGGCAAUCCUAUAUGACUGGCGCCAUCAGUAAGGAUUUCUUUUAAGCUAGCUUACUUUUGGGUCUAAGUCGAGUUUAUUUCUUUUGCAGAUUUAUUCACCUUAUUGGGACGGUGGGGUUAAUAUAUAUACAUCAAUUUUGAGCAUCGGCAACGCAUGAAGCUUGCUUCUGAGGCUGCAACAUACUUUGCAAUCCCCCUGUGAAACAUACUCUUGUCACUAUGCACAUAUGGUUAUUCGAACGAAUUGAUUUCCAUUAGACUAUGUUUUUCCUAAUUACUUGUUAUAUGAUGUUCUUUACUAUUCAGAGGUUGUUGAAGGGAGAUGGGGCUCUUCAGGCCCCUUUGGUGCAAAAGCACAAGCAGCAUCUACAGCUGACCACUCAUAGCCUAGGAUGUCCUGCAGAUUUGAUCUAUUUUGGAUAGAGCACAUGGAAUCAAACCACAGGUAAUCAAUUUGCUAUAUUCAUGUGAUUAGCUAUAAGGAAUUUAUUACCUCUGUUUUAUUUGUAGGAUACCCAAGCAGUGCGUACAAAUUGUAGUGGUGCUUGUAGCUUAUCAUCAAUCUGCCAUUAUUAUUUGUGUGUAUGUGUUCAAAACGACCACUCUAGGGAUUCUUGAUUUGCUCCUGGCUGCACCGUUGGGUUUCCCGCGGCUUUGUUUCGUUUGAGUUCUGUUGUUCAUACCAGUCUAAUUCGCCAACAUCAGAUUUCUAAUAAUGCUUUCAACCUGGACAGUCUGAUGUGAGCAAGUUUCUUGCCCUAUCCAUGCAUCAACCAACAAUUUCUUGAUCCAGGUGCCCCAUGCCCUAUAGGGAAGCAGAAGGGCAUCAACAUCAGUGCCAGCCGCCCCAAUGUGGGAGGAAACAGGCGGAUGCACGCCAGUUGCUCGACGCCUUCUUCUUCUUGAAUAGUUGGGUGACCCGCCAUUAAACCACUAAUUUUGGCUUGCUCGUUCUCUCCAAGCCCAUUGACUAAUUAAUUUAGUUGAUUGUCUGUAGAAUUCAUGGUGGUGAUGGACCUUUAUCUGCCCGAUGUUCUCAUGGAUUUUUCAUGCAACUAGCAGGUCGUCCAUGUUGUUCUUUAUGCAUUUAAAAAAUACUAAUUAAAGGGAAAGGCAUGAAUGUGUAAGUUUUUGCAGCAGUAGAUUCAGAGUGGGUUAAAAAAAUUAUACAAUUCUUCAACCUCUUAAUAAUUAUGCAAUCAAUAGUGAGGAGGGCAUGCGUCAGAGACCUGUCGACAGAGGGAGUGCAGGUUUGUGUUUCAUAAGGGGGAUAGUUGUGAGCAAUGCAUACAUCUAGGUUUUCUAUUUUUAUUUUAGAGACAAACUUAGUUGUGGGAUUGCCGUGUUAGUUUUUCAAAACGAAAAUUAAGUGAUGAUCAUGUUUUAUCAACAUAGGUGUAGAGAUAACUUUAAUGAGUAAACAAAUAAUUUUCAUGCAGGUCAGUUCUGAUGUGUGUUGAAUAGCUCAAUUUUGUUUUGAUCUUCUACGUUUAGUCAUUGUUUGCUCUAGCAUCAACACUAACUGUCACACCCACGCCACCCCAUGGACGACCCUGACCGAGGUGCGGGUCGGUGCUUGCCGUGGGUGCAUCCGCAGCGGUGCAGUGGCCUGCACUCAUCGAAAGCUUUGAAGCUUGGGAAAGCCACAAAACCAGAUGUUCCCCUCAACCUGAAGAUGUGAACUAUGCUGCUUCUCCCCGUAUGUGUAUUGCUUCCGCUGGAUGAUGCUCUAUUGUCGUUGUUGCCUCAGCCCUCCCAAUUGUCGUUUUCUCCCCUUCUCUUGCUGCUCAAUGAGGUUGAUCAUGCUGCUAGCUUUUAAUUCUAUGGAGUCUCUAUCUCUGCCUAUGAUAAAUUCAGUAUCGGUCAACACACAUGUUUGUACCAAUCCAAGCCCUGUUGAUGAUAUAGUUUGGACUUGUAAUGAUCUGACUAUGUAUACCUUUUAUGGGAUUAAUGAUCUGACUAUGUAUACGACGAGGGCGCCAUCCCCUCUCCCUCGCCGCGUCACACCUUUGUGCCCGUUGUAGAUGACGAGGGCGCAUGGGUUCGGUGCUGAUGUGGCGACGGUAGGGGUUGUCAUCAGAGAAGGAGGCCAACUAUGUCGUGGCAGGGAGAGGAGGAUGUGGGUGACACUAUUGAGAGAAGGUAGGCUAUGGGGACAACAUGGGACGGGCUUGAUAAGAGGGGGAGGAGAGAUGGUGGGGGAGGAGGGGGUCGGUCGACGCCGUGAAGCGGAGAGGAGGAUGCGCUACACCGUCGAUGGAAGGGCGGCGGCAGGGAAACGCGUGGAUGCGAGGGGAGAGAGUUCCGCGUGAAGCCAAAUAUUCAGAUGUUGGCAACACUGUUUGAUAGCAUGCUUGGGGCGACUUGGUAAGUACGGUCUCUUGUCCAUUGCUGUCAUGAUUUAUGGUUUCUAAUAGCUACCACUUGUAGAUUUAUUUUCUAUAUCUUCUAUAUGCAUCCAUCAACCGAAAUAUAUUGUACAUUCAGCAACAAACAUGCAUGUUGUGUGUAUGUUUUAGACCCUAUCCAUACAUCAUAGUCGCCAGAGAUUAAAACUCUGAAGCAUUUAGUGAAAUUAUAAAGAUUUGCGAGGUAAUUCGAUGACGCACUCAAAAUUGCGCAACUCGGCUGAAAUUCUGACAUAUCUAGAUGACAAAGUAUAUUUCUGGUUAGUAUUCCAAUGAGCAUGGAUGGAUACAUUUAGAUAUUUCAUUACCAUAACAUUCAAGAUACACGCAUUUAUAAUUGUUAUCACUGUAUUCAAGAUAACAUUAAUUUGGAAAUUACAGGGAUGUGUUUGGCUAUUUUUGUUUUUAAUUUUAUGCUCUCAUGAAAUAAUAAAGAAUUGGUUCAUCUGGUUUGCACGUUGAGUAUUCUCCUUGCAUAUUUUUAGACCUUUCACAUAAAAUAUUCGUACUAGCUAGAUAUAUUGCUUGUGCAGGUGGUUAUGAGUUGAGUAACAAGUUAUUAUUAUAUUUGCUCAAUAUCGUGCGAAUGAAGCUAAAGACAACAUUGACAUUGUGCAAGAAUAUCUUAAGCCCAUCAAUCAGAUCUUAAUUUGUAACAGAUUAAUAGUUGGAUCAUUGAUUUCUAUGUAUACAUCAUUUAGUUACCUUUUUUUAUCAAAUUACAUUACAAGGGAAGUGGACUUCAAUUAUUAUCCGAUUGUUACUAGCUAUCUUUUUCAAUAGAUGAAAAUUUCACAUGCAUUAUGUUCAUAUAACUUCUGUAAAAUAUUUCAAAAGCCCAUAGCAACGCACGGGCAUUUUAUUAGAGGGUGAGGUCUAUGGGGAAGUAAGGUGUGGUGAGGGUGAGGUCGGCAUAUCUAACCAGUUCCAAAGGAGGGGGCUCUAGCAAGAAGUGUCCUGCUACGACAUGAAACCGAGCAGAAAGGGGAGGGUUUGACAGAAAAAGAGAAGGGUGCGUGUGGGAUAAGACAUAUUCCUUUUUAGGUUGAUUAGGAUCUAUUUUCGUCCUGGGACUUUUUGUUAGGUUGAUUAAGAUCAAUUUUUGUCCUGCGCAGUUGUGGUAUGCACUUGAGAGGGAUCCAUUUUCAUCAUGUGCCUUUUGGGUUGAUUAGGGUCCAUUUUCUGUCCUAUGCCUUUUAGUUUUUUUACUCGCACCAUGAUGGUAGAUUCAACAUGAGAUCAAAAGUUUCAUGUGAAGGAAACUGUUCAAAUAUUGGCAACUUUGUUUGAUA